UUUGCCGAUGAAGACCGUGAGAUGCAAUUGAAAGCUCAGAAAAAAAACCUAACCAGUCAAUUAUCCUAUUUUCCAGUGAGUCAGUGAACUGGAACCACUGGAGUGAGCAGAAUCGUGCUACCGUGAGUUCCCUUGGCUCUGAGACACACGCUGAGACAACGCUUUCAGGU